CUAAGGGACAAAAUUUGAUCCUGGGCUGAAGUGGUGCAAGAAUGUGGACUGUAUAGUUCAUACUUGGUGGGAUUCACUAAGAAUUUCCAGGUAUUUGAGCAAUUUAUAUUCUGAGGGAAAUUCAAAAUUUUUCAUUAAGCUUACCACAGAAUUUUUUUAAUUUGUAUUGCUAUCUCUCCAUAAUAAUUCAACUUUACACAUCACAAAGGAGGAAACAGAGGGAAUUU
rnacentral:lncRNA from 1 species